AUGAAGAUCAACCAUCUCUGUUUGUUCCCAGAAUUGUGCUUCACUACUUCACCUAAUCCAAUCAUCGGUGGCCAAAUGGAUUUUAAUAUAACUGAGUUUUGCAAGACAAUAGUUGGGGCUACAUAUGCAAACUACUAUUAUCCAGAUACAACAACAGACAGCUUGCGCUGUGUGAGUAACUGCACCAAGGGCAGUGCGUAUGCUAUCAAUUGCUACCAUGGGGUUUGCCGCAUCUCUGACAAAGGCCCCAACUGCAACUGUAAUGACCGGAAUACCUUUUGGUAUGUAGACAAUAACUGCCAGACGCGUUUCCAGAAGAGUGAGGUGGGUCUUGGUAUUGGGAUGGCUGUCCUCUUCCUGAUUGCUAUCAUCUUGGCUGUCUUCCUCUUCAGAACCUAUCGGAGAAAGUCUGAGUCUAGAUACUCUGAUGGAGAUAACCUCAUUUAUGAAGACACUAAAGAGGAAGAAUGGCUACCCCCGUGGACCCUGAACUUCACAAAUGAGGCAGCUGACUUCCACAAUGGAAGCCAAAAUAUAAACAAUGGAUUCAAUCUUUCACUUGACUCAGUAGACACCUCAGUACAGGUACGUAUCACUGUCCUUUCCUCUUCGGUGGAAUUUACUGGAUAUCUUUAUUCCGGCAUCAAGCAACUGAUGCAUAACAUGUAA
ensembl:lncRNA